GACGAACGCUGGCGGCGUGCUUAACACAUGCAAGUCGAACGGAAAGGCCCUGCUUGCAGGGUACUCGAGUGGCGAACGGGUGAGUAACACGUGGGUGAUCUGCCCUGCACUUCGGGAUAAGCCUGGGAAGCUGGGUCUAAUACCGGAUAGGAGCCAUUUUUAGUGUGAUGGUUGGAAAGUUUUUUCGGUGUAGGAUGAGCUCGCGGCCUAUCAGCUUGUUGGUGGGGUAAUGGCCUACCAAGGCGGCGACGGGUAGCCGGCCUGGGAGGGUGGACGGCCACAUUGGGACUGAGAUACGGCCCAGACUCCUACGGGAGGCAGCAGUGGGGAAUAAUGCACAAUGGGCGCAAGCCUGAUGCAGCGACGCCGCGUGGGGGAUGACGGCCUUCGGGUUGUAAACUCCUUUCGCUAGGGACGAAGCUUUUUGUGACGGUACCUAGAUAAGAAGCACCGGCUAACUACGUG
rnacentral:rRNA from 1 species